rnacentral:rRNA from 1 species
UAUCCUACGGGGGGCAGCAGUCGGGAAUAUUGCGCAAUGGAGGAAACUCUGACGCAGUGACGCCGCGUAUAGGAAGAAGUUUUUCGGAAUGUAAACUAUUGUCGUUAGGGAAGAGAAAGGACAGUACCUAAGGAGGAAGCUCCGGCUAACUACGUGCCAGCAGCCGCGGUAAUACGUAGGUGGCAAGCGUUAUCCGGAUUUACUGGGUGUAAAGGGCGUGUAGGCGGGACUGCAAGUCAGAUGUGAAAAUUAUGGGCUCAACCCAUAACCUGCAUUUGAAACUUUAGUUCUUGAGUGAUGGAGAG